rnacentral:rRNA from 1 species
UGCCAGCAGCCGCGGUAAUACGUAGGCAGCAAGCGUUGUUCGGAGUUACUGGGCGUAAAGAGUGUGUAGGCGGUUCUCUAAGUUCGGUGUGAAAUCUCCCGGCUCAACUGGGAGGGUGCGCCGGAAACUGGAGGGCUUGAGUAUGGGAGAGGAAAGCGGAAUUCCUGGUGUAGCGGUGAAAUGCGUAGAUAUCAGGAGGAACACCUGCGGUGUAGACGGCUUUCUGGACCAUCACUGACGCUGAGACACGAAAGCGUGGGGAGCAAACAGGAUUAGAUACCCUGGUAGUCCACGCCCUAAACGAUGCAUACUUGGUGUGAGCCGUUCAUUCGGUUCGUGCCGGAGCUAACGCGUUAAGUAUGCCGCCUGGGGAGUAUGGUCGCAAGGCUGAAGCUCAAAGGAAUUGACGGGGGCCCGCACAAGA